CGUUGAUUACGUCCCUGCCCUUUUUACACACCGCCCGUCGCUCCUCCCGAUUGAAUGGUCCGGUGAAGUGUUCGGAUCGCGGGUACGCGGGGGUUUCGCCGCCCGCGACUCUGCGAGAAGUCCAUUGAUCCUUAUCAUUUAGAGGAAGUAAAAGUCGUAACAAGG
rnacentral:rRNA from 1 species